rnacentral:rRNA from 1 species
AUUGAACGCUGGCGGCAGGCCUAACACAUGCAAGUCGAGCGGAUGACGGGAGCUUGCUCCUUGAUUCAGCGGCGGACGGGUGAGUAAUGCCUAGGAAUCUGCCUGGUAGUGGGGGACAACGUUUCGAAAGGAACGCUAAUACCGCAUACGUCCUACGGGAGAAAGCAGGGGACCUUCGGGCCUUGCGCUACCAGAUGAGCCUAGGCCGGAUUAGCUAGUUGGUGGGGUAAUGGCCCACCAAGGCGACGAUCCGUAACUGGUCUGAGAGGAUGAUCGGUCACACUGGAACUGAGACACGGUACAGACUCCUACGGGAGGCAGCAGUGGGGAAUAUUGGACAAUGGGCGAAAGCCUGAUCCAGCCAUGCCGCGUGUGUGAAGAAGGCCUUCGGAUUGUAAAGCACUUUAAGUUGGGAGGAAGGGCAGUAAGCUAAUACCUUGCUGUUUUGACGUUACCGACAGAAUAAGCACCGGCUAACUCUGUGCCAGCCGCCGCCGUAAGAC